rnacentral:rRNA from 1 species
CCUACGGGAGGCAGCAGUGAGGAAUAUUGGUCAAUGGACGAGAGUCUGAACCAGCCAAGUAGCGUGAAGGAUGACUGCCCUAUGGGUUGUAAACGUCGUUUAUAUGGGAAUAAAACAGGGUAUGCAUACCCUCUUGUAUGUACCAUAUGAAUAAGGAUCGGCUAACUCCGUGCCAGCAGCCGCGGUAAUACGGAGGAUCCGAGCGUUAUCCGGAUUUAUUGGGUUUAAAGGGAGCGUAGGUGGAUUGUUAAGUCAGUUGUGAAAGUUUGCGGCUCAACCGUAAAAUUGCAGUUGAAACUGGCAGUCUUGAGUACAGUAGAGGUGGGCGGAAUUCGUGGUGUAGCGGUGAAAUGCGUAGAUAUCACGAAGAACUCCGAUUGCGAAGGCAGCUCACUGGACUGCAACUGACACUGAUGCUCGAAAGUGUGGGUAGCAAACAGGAUUAGAUACCCGGGUAGUC